GGGGGGGGCUAUAAUGCAAGUCGAGCGCGGGAAGCGAGUGGAUCCCUUCGGGGUGAAGCUCGUGGAACGAGCGGCGGACGGGUGAGUAACACGUGGGCAACCUGCCUGUAAGACCGGAAUAACCCCGGGAAACCGGGGCUAAUGCCGGGUAAUACUUUUCUUCUCAUGAAGGAAAGUUGAAAGAUGGCUUCUUGCUAUCACUUACAGAUGGGCCCGCGGCGCAUUAGCUAGUUGGUGAGGUAACGGCUCACCAAGGCGACGAUGCGUAGCCGACCUGAGAGGGUGAUCGGCCACACUGGGACUGAGACACGGCCCAGACUCCUACGGGAGGCAGCAGUAGGGAAUCUUCCGCAAUGGACGAAAGUCUGACGGAGCAACGCCGCGUGAACGAUGAAGGUCUUCGGAUCGUAAAGUUCUGUUGUUAGGGAAGAACAAGUACCGUGCGAAUAGAGCGGUACCUUGACGGUACCUAACGAGGAAGCCCCGGCUAACUACGUGCCAGCAGCCGCGGUAAUACGUAGGGGGCAAGCGUUGUCCGGAAUUAUUGGGCGUAAAGCGCGCGCAGGCGGUUCCUUAAGUCUGAUGUGAAAGCCCACGGCUCAACCGUGGAGGGUCAUUGGAAACUGGGGAACUUGAGGACAGAAGAGGAGAGUGGAAUUCCACGUGUAGCGGUGAAAUGCGUAGAUAUGUGGAGGAACACCAGUGGCGAAGGCGACUCUCUGGUCUGUUUCUGACGCUGAGGUGCGAAAGCGUGGGUAGCAAACAGGAUUAGAUACCCUGGUAGUCCACGCCGUAAACGA
rnacentral:rRNA from 1 species